rnacentral:lncRNA from 1 species
GCCGGCUCGGUGCCAGGGCUGGGAGAUCCGGGGGUGAAUCGUGAGCCCGGCCCACAGCGAGCUUGCAGUCUAGAGAUCAAGGCAGUCUUGUCCACAACCUGCUGUCACACCAAGCAAAUGUAGCUGGUGUAGCACCAGGGGCUGCAAUCAAGUGCGGUGGGGCGGCAAUAGUGACCACGGAAAUAAUCAGAAUUGCUUCUAAUUCAGCUCCUACUAUAUUCCCGUCAUCCCUGAGCCUCACAAUCAUCCUCCAAGGGGACACUCUUUAGGAGCCUGGCGGUGUCACUGGCCCACAAGGAAAGGAGCGUUACCAUCAGUGUCGGAAUGGAUGACAUCAACAAACUGCGCAUCACUGGGAUCUAAUCUGUCUUGGCAUUUGCAGAAGGUUCUGUGC